CGGGGGGCAGCACUCCCAGAACGUGGGGCGCUUGGGUCUUGAAAUGCCCAGGAAAGAGAUAUGACUUUCUGGAUCCCACAGUGGGACGCACUGCCCAAGCAAGUGCUGGUAAAACUUGGUGGCAGGGUAAUCAUUUUGUUGUUUUUAACAGUGAAGGAGCUCCCAGAGAGGAAUGCUUGCUUUGAGGUUCCUGGUAAGUCAGGCUGUUUGUGUCCAGUGCAAGGAAGAUGCAGGACAACAGUGAGCAGGUGGCAGGCGGCCCCGUGGAGCAGAGAGAUUGGGAACUGCAAAGAUGAGGAGUUUCUUCUACAUCCCAGCCCCAAAGAAACAGCAAGCUCCCCGCCCCUGUCAUAUCUUGGCAGCUAAUUGAAGCAACGAAGAGGAAAGAAAUGAUACAAAUAAAUCAUUCCAGUUGACAGAGCGUCACUGUUCUCAAAGUGGCUGUUCAUCAGAAAUGAAGUGCAGGAAAGGGUAAAGAAGACAGAGUAGGAAGAGUUCCAGGAACUAAGGAACGAGUGCUUUUCUGGCUAUGGACUCACUGGGGGGUGUGGAGGUGCUGCCUUACGCCUUUGGAUCUAGGUCUUCUCCCCUGUUCUAUGAAGAAGUUGUGUCCAUUAAGGUCCUUUUCUAGCUCUAGACUUGCAUGAACUGUUUUAAGUUUUUCCCUGUCCCUUCUUUGUACUUGGAUAUGACUGAGCCCUAUAUGUGCCCAGGAAGGCAGGGAAUGUGACUGCUUUUGCCCUGGUUUAUGCCAGCACAGUGCCUGGCAAAGAAUUGACACUCAAUAAAUAUUUGUUAAUGAAUGAAUGGAUGAGAUGCUCAUG